rnacentral:rRNA from 1 species
CUACGGGAGGCAGCAGUGAGGAAUAUUCCACAAUGGGGGAAACCCUGAUGGAGCGAUGCCGCGUGCAGGAAGACGCUUUUCGGAGUGUAAACUGCUUUUAAUAGGGAAGAUUAUGACGGUACCUAUCGAAUAAGGACCGGCUAACUACGUGCCAGCAGCCGCGGUAAUACGUAGGGUCCAAGCGUUAUUCGGAAUUACUGGGCGUAAAGCGUACGUAGGCGGUUUGGUAAGUUGGAUGUGAAAUCCUGUGGCUCAACCACAUGGACUGUGUCCAAAACUACCAAACUUGAGCAUAGUAGAGGCAAGUGGAAUUUGCGGUGUAGGAGUGACAUCCGUAGAUAUCGCAAGGAACACCAAUGGCGAAGGCAGCUUGCUGGGCUAUUGCUGACGCUCAGGUACGAAAGCGUGGGGAGCGAACGGGAUUAGAAACCCGGGUAGUCC